ACGAACGCUGGCGGCGUGCUUAACACAUGCAAGUCGAACGGAAAGGCCCUGCUUUUGUGGGGUGCUCGAGUGGCGAACGGGUGAGUAACACGUGAGUAACCUGCCCUUGACUUUGGGAUAACUUCAGGAAACUGGGGCUAAUACCGGAUAGGAGCUCCUGCUGCAUGGUGGGGGUUGGAAAGUUUCGGCGGUUGGGGAUGGACUCGCGGCUUAUCAGCUUGUUGGUGGGGUAGUGGCUUACCAAGGCUUUGACGGGUAGCCGGCCCGAGAGGGUGACCGGCCACAUUGGGACUGAGAUACGGCCCAAACUCCUACGGGAGGCAGCAGUGGGGAAUAUUGCACAAUGGGCGGAAGCCUGAUGCAGCAACGCCGCGUGCGGGAUGACGGCCUUCGGGUUGUAAACCGCUUUCGCCUGUGACGAAGCGUGAGUGACGGUAAUGGGUAAAGAAGCACCGGCUAACUACGUG
rnacentral:rRNA from 1 species